UGUGCUUGUGCCCAAGCGGUCAAACCCAACUCUCUAUCAUUUGAAUUUACACCCUCUCUUUCCAGGAAACAAAAAUUGUCAAAUUGGAUUUCUUAUUAAUUCUUCACUAGUUAGCGCCCAAUUCCUCCCAUCUUCGCCGCUUGCCGGCCGCCGCUGGGUGCCUCUUUCAAACGCCAAGUGGUGCUGAGAGUAACAAUGUGGGGUUUUGGCUCGAAAUUUGGAACAUGAUGACAAUGAAACUAACAAGCUAAAGCAUAUUGGUAGAUUGUAGACAAUUAUAGUAAAUUAUCCUGCGGCUAUCUUUGGACAUGAGUGACAUGAUUCAGGAUGGGUUCACCCCUCUACCGAGAGCCACUCUAUAUGGCUGUGUGCUUGUGGUUCACCAUUUUCUUGGCUGCAAACAAUCUUCAGAAUGUAGUGAUUAGUGACUCAAAAGGAAAGAGUUCUUUGCACUUGUGGCAAAGGGUUCUGAUCUCAAUGCGAUUGUCAAACUCCUACGUGGCUACGUUUUGGAUUGAACUAAUAUCCUAAGUAUAACUUAAGUUGACACCCUCACAUUAUUACAAGACCAAGAUGGAACUUCAUCAAUACACUUGGUAAAUGUUGAUUGAGUUUUUCAUAUAAUGCAAUUGAUCCAUCAAUAGUCUGUUGGGGUGCAAUCAUGUACGAGGGAGGAGUUGACUGUGAGCAUCAAGAGUAAUGAUGGCACGGUGGUCUGACUUGAUUACACCUGGAUCAGAUAGUCCUGCAAUUCUGCAAACCUGUGUUGCAUGUUGCUCGUCGGCUUCAAUUUUGUGCAAUGUUAACAUUAUUGAAGGCGACUUGCGGCAACUGGAAGUAUAAGUUAAAGCAAGAGGCUAACCAAAAUGGAUAGUAGAGGAACCAGAGCUUUGUGUGAAGCCGCAAACAUCAGUAACUAUCAGAGAGAGAGAGAGAAAGAAAGAUCUAUGGAGGGAUACUUACAAUCCUCCAUGUUCCGGGCAGCCGUGAAAGGCGAUACAACCAUGUUGCAGAACUCCGUUAUUGAAGAACAAGGGGAGAAGAAGUACCUCCUAAGGACGCCUGAUCUGGGAAACUGCAUAGUCCACAUUGCAGCUCGACACAGGAACAUGAUAUUCGUCGAGGAAGCUAUUGGUCGGUUCCCUGAUCUUCUCCGACAGAAGAACAAGAAUGGUAACACCCCUCUUCAUGAGGCAGCAGAACUGGGAAGUACGGGCACCAUCAAUGUCCUCCUAACCCAUCUUCGCAGCACCCAGCCUAGUAGUAGUACAAGUACUACUGUUACUGGUGUACCACAUCUAUGGGAGGUGAAUAAUGAAGGAGAUUCACCACUACAUGUCGCACUUAGAAGCUCAAACUUGGAUGCAGCUCAGGAGUUAUUUACAGACGUUGAGGCCCACCCACAGAUCCUGGUCGUCAAGAACAACUCUGGGGAGACUCCUCUACAUCUCUAUGCCCGAUUUUGUGCUGGUGUGGUCUUCCCUCAAAAUUUAGAGCACGACAACAUACAUAUUGUUAAUGUAUCUGAUAGAAAGCCAAAACUUAUUGAUCGAUUGAUCAAAGCAAAUCCUUCAGCUAUAUUCGAACAUGAUACAGAGGGCCUCAACCCUCUAAUGACAGCAGCCCAAUAUGGUCAUGUUCUUCUUGUUCAUCGGUUCCUAAGUGAUCAUACACAGUCAAUGGAAUGUCGUGACCAAAAAGGAAGGAAUUUUUUGCACUACCUGCGGCUAAGACUGGCUGAUCUUAAAUCAAGAGACAAAGAUCAUACGGUAUGGAUUUGCAAGAAGAUCCUUGAAAUACCUGGAGUCAACUCUCUCACAUUUUCACGAGACGAAGAUGGAAAUACACCGUUGCAUUUGGCCAUAAUGGAUCGGGAUUUUGAUCUCGCACAAUUGAUCCUUCAACUAUGUGUUGAGUUUGCACCAAAAAGAAGGUAUCCAGAUGAACUUUCUUUGGCUGCCAGUAAUGAUAAAUUAAGUGAAACAAAGGAGUUGAUUGUGAGAGUCAAGAACAAUAAGGGAAAGACAGUAUUUGACUUGAUUACAGCAGGUCCAGACAUUCCAGAAAACAUUAAGAACGUGAUGAAUGAAGCUAUUAUGGGAACGAGAAUGAAUGAGGAGAUGUACAAGGCAGCUACAGAUGGUGAUUUUUCGCCACAAUAUUUUUAUGGCGACGGAGUUAUUUCUCAAGCCGGGGAUGGGAGCAAUAUUAUUCACAUAGCCCUUCAACAUGAUCAUGCAGCUUUCUUCCUCGAGGAGGCUUUUGAAGAAUUAAAAUUUCCAUUACAUACUUUGAUCUACCAGAAAGACUCAAAUGGUGACACACCCAUGCACAUAGCUGCUAGGCUUCAGUCGCAUUCUGCCUUCUUAUUUUUGAAGAGGUCUUUCUUCUAUUGGCGGGUGAACUGUAGGGGAACUCUUCGUAUACCACCAUGGAAGGUAAAAAAUAUGAGAGGCCACACGCCACUUCAUGAAGCUGCGUGCACUAGUAACUACAUUAUUUUGUCUGUGAUGGUUCGUAUAUUAUGUGGCCCUGAUGGAGUUGAUUCGAUAUCAAUGUCACACAUCAACGAUGAUGGUGAGACUGUUCUUCAUUUGAUUGCAAGAUAUGGAAAAAAACUUGAUUUUGCAGGACGUUGUCUGAAUGAAGGGUGUAUGAGCACAUAUGAAUAUGACUUCGUGAGAGAAAGCAGUACUGCUGUGUACAUGCGUGACAUAGAUGGUUUGACCCCUAUUUUAAGAGCUUCACACUCUGGUCAGAUUUGGCUAAUUAGGUCAAUUAGUAAACAAUAUCCUCAAUCAAUAUACACAAGGGAUUACAAAGGCAGAACAGUGUUGCACAUUCUUUCUACUUCAGCCAUGUAUAAUGAUGUAAAUGAAUUGGAAGGCAUAUCAUAUUUAUGGAAAGAACAGCUUUCCGGCAUGACCAAAUUCCUAUUAUCACCGGAUCAUGAUGGAAACACACUAUUACAUCUUGCCUUGAUGCAUCGAAACUUUGAGGUUGCACAAUAUUUCAUCACAUCUUUUUCAAAGGAUGAAAACUCAAUAUCAAAGGAGUUGAUCGCGAUCAGGAACAAGGCUGGAAUGUCAAUCAGGUGCUUGAUUACACGUACAUCAGACAUUCCUCAAAACCUGAUGAAACUGAUAGAUCAAGUCAGUCCAGCAAAAGUAAUGGAUGACAAGGUUCAAGGAUGAGCUUCAACCAUCCCACCACUGAAAGUGAUCCAGUCAAGUCAUCAGAAUACUUAGCUUGGAUCAUCUCCCAAUAACUAAUUUCCAGAUCUGAUUUGGUGGAAGAAAGCAAGUUUUCACAAACUCGCAAAAGCCGGUCCACACUGGAUCAAGAAACAAGAAAGGCAAUUCAAUUUGGACAACACACUGGAUCAACAAACAAGUACAGAAGUAGUUCGUAUAAUAAAAUUAUGUUUAUUUUCUUUAUUGAUAUAGUAGCUGCCUAGCCAGUCAACAAGGGAAGCUGGUCAGAGCUUUUGGAUAGUAACAGAAAUGGGUGUAUAAUUAAUGUAUAGAGGUGAUCGAUUAGGUAGUUGGUUUAGCAGUUAACAAAUUGGUAAUUGACUUGAAGGUGACCUUGAGCAUUUCCUAUACCGUUGGUGUCAAUUUGAUUAAACAUGUUAA